rnacentral:rRNA from 1 species
UGGGGAAUAUUGGACAAUGGGCGAAAGCCUGAUCCAGCCAUGCCGCGUGAGUGACGAAGGCCUUAGGGUUGUAAAACUCUUUCGUCGGGGACGAUAAUGACGGUACCCGAAGAAGAAGCUCCGGCUAACUUCGUGCCAGCAGCCGCGGUAAUACGAAGGGAGCUAGCGUUGUUCGGAAUCACUGGGCGUAAAGCGCACGUAGGCGGAUAGUUAAGUCAGGGGUGAAAUCCUGGGGCUCAACCCCAGAACUGCCUUUGAUACUGGCUGUCUCGAGGUCGAGAGAGGUUGGUGGAAUUCCUAGUGUAGAGGUGAAAUUCGUAGAUAUUAGGAAGAACACCAGUGGCGAAGGCGGCUCACUGGCUCGAUACUGACGCUGAGGUGCGAAAGCGUGGGGAGCAAACAGGAUUAGAUACCCGGGUAGUCCCUGAGCGGGCUGGCAAGGCGCAU